CCUUGAUCUCUAUUGCAUGAUCAUAAGGGCAUGUUUGGAGGGUUAGUUGUUAUAAGUCAGAAUUUUUAAGAAAGAAGAACUUAGAAGCAAGUGGGAGAAAGUAGAAGUCAUGUCCAUCUUCUCCAUUUUCGCAACCCAUGGACAGCCUCCACUAAAAGUGCCAUAACUCUCUGCUCACAGCUCCGAUUGAGGUUUGAAGUGGAGUGAUCCAUGCUGAGUUUGUGUGUGAAUGCAGCUGCGAAUUUGAUGAUGAAGAAGGUGAACCUUUGGGCAAGAGUGGAGUUCAAAGGCUGCAUUAACACCAUCUAAACCUCUAUUAAUCCAAGGUGCAGUUUAGUAGCGUUUGACAAAUAGCAGGUUCGGAUUGAUGACUUAAAGUGGUGAUGGCUCGGAGACCUCGUCAGAUCUCAUUUUCCGCUGUGCAGAUCCAUUGAAGACACGUGUUUUGUAAUUAUCAAUAUUAUUUCAUGUUGUAUUAUUAUGGAUCAUCUUGUAUCUUUGGCUUUUGUGUGUACUCAAAUACCAAUUUUUAACGUUUCAUGCAUAAUAUACUAGUCAACUAUGUAUGGGGUGUUACAGUUGGUAUCAGAGCAGGUCGAUUCUCGGCCGAGCCAUGAGACAUCACUAGCAAUUCUUUUUCCUCCUCUCAAGUGUGCGUUGCUAGCCUGAUUUUACUGAUAUCUCAUUCAGUUGUUGAACUUGAUCAACUCAUUGACUGAGUGUGAGACAGUAGGAUUACGGCAGAGCCGCCACGAGGAAUCGUAAACCUGUAAGUGUUGUGAACCCAAGUAGUUGAAGUGGGAUGAGUAAUGG